AGCUUAGUUUUAAAAAUAGACUUCAUAUUUAAAUGACAGGAACCGUGACGCGCUGCUCCGCAAAGAAGCCACACGGCAAAGCCCACGGCCUGGUUCCGCGCGCUGGACAGUGAGCUCAGUGGAGCAGAGAGACGGGAUGGAAGCUGGAAGAUCCAAAGAAAUCAAGACACAGUCCACGAGGAAAACAAAACUGGCAGAUCGGAAAAGAGAACGUGAUUGAUUACGCGGUGUCGAAAUGUCAUCGGGGUAGAGGGAGCUCACGGUGCAAGUGGUCAUGGUUGCUGCUUAGAAAUGGCACCUACAAAAUCUCGGCGGGGGCGGAGUGCAGCGGCUAGUCAAGAGGCUUCCUCAGAGGGUGUUCUCUGAUGUACCUUCUCUGUGGGGACAAUGUCCCUGGGCGAGGCUUGCUGGAACCCUCCCAGACUCUGGACAUGGGCUUUCCUGGGUUUGCCAUUCAACCCCUCCCACUCUGAGGUGAGUAUUCAGGUUGGAUGGAAAGUGAGAUGGUUCUGGAGAGGAAAUCUACUCUGGAGGCUUAGAGAACACUUGAGAAAGAAGCCUAUUUCAAAGCAUUAAAAAGAGACUCAAAGAAAUUCAAAGGGGCUAUUGUUUUG